UAAAUUGAGAGUUUGAUCCUGGCUCAGGAUGAACGCUGGCGGCGUGCCUAAUACAUGCAAGUCGAACGAAACUUCUUUAUCACCGAGUGCUUGCACUCACCGAUAAAGAGUUGAGUGGCGAACGGGUGAGUAACACGUGGGCAACCUGCCCAAAAGAGGGGGAUAACACUUGGAAACAGGUGCUAAUACCGCAUAACCAUAGUUACCGCAUGGUAACUAUGUAAAAGGUGGCUAUGCUACCGCUUUUGGAUGGGCCCGCGACGCAUUAGCUAGUUGGUAGGGUAAAGGCUUACCAAGGCAAUGAUGCGUAGCCGAACUGAGAGGUUGAUCGGCCACAUUGGGACUGAGACACGGCCCAAACUCCUACGGGAGGCAGCAGUAGGGAAUCUUCCACAAUGGGCGAAAGCCUGAUGGAGCAACGCCGCGUGGGUGAAGAAGGUCUUCGGAUCGUAAAACCCUGUUGUUAGAGAAGAAAGUGCGUGAGAGUAACUGUUCACGUUUCGACGGUAUCUAACCAGAAAGCCACGGCUAACUACGUGCCAGCAGCCGCGGUAAUACGUAGGUGGCAAGCGUUAUCCGGAUUUAUUGGGCGUAAAGGGAACGCAGGCGGUCUUUUAAGUCUGAUGUGAAAGCCUUCGGCUUAACCGGAGUAGUGCAUUGGAAACUGGGAGACUUGAGUGCAGAAGAGGAGAGUGGAACUCCAUGUGUAGCGGUGAAAUGCGUAGAUAUAUGGAAGAACACCAGUGGCGAAAGCGGCUCUCUGGUCUGUAACUGACGCUGAGGUUCGAAAGCGUGGGUAGCAAACAGGAUUAGAUACCCUGGUAGUCCACGCCGUAAACGAUGAAUGCUAAGUGUUGGAGGGUUUCCGCCCUUCAGUGCUGCAGCUAACGCAAUAAGCAUUCCGCCUGGGGAGUACGACCGCAAGGUUGAAACUCAAAGGAAUUGACGGGGGCCCGCACAAGCGGUGGAGCAUGUGGUUUAAUUCGAAGCAACGCGAAGAACCUUACCAGGUCUUGACAUCUUUUGACAAUCCUAGAGAUAGGACUUUCCCUUCGGGGACAAAAUGACAGGUGGUGCAUGGUUGUCGUCAGCUCGUGUCGUGAGAUGUUGGGUUAAGUCCCGCAACGAGCGCAACCCUUAUUGUUAGUUGCCAGCAUUAAGUUGGGCACUCUAGCAAGACUGCCGGUGACAAACCGGAGGAAGGUGGGGAUGACGUCAAAUCAUCAUGCCCCUUAUGACCUGGGCUACACACGUGCUACAAUGGACGGUACAACGAGUCGCAAGACCGCGAGGUUUAGCAAAUCUCUUAAAGCCGUUCUCAGUUCGGAUUGUAGGCUGCAACUCGCCUACAUGAAGUCGGAAUCGCUAGUAAUCGCGGAUCAGCAUGCCGCGGUGAAUACGUUCCCGGGCCUUGUACACACCGCCCGUCACACCAUGAGAGUUUGUAACACCCAAAGCCGGUGGGGUAACCUUUUGGAGCCAGCCGUCUAAGGUGGGACAGAUGAUUAGGGUGAAGUCGUAACAAGGUAGCCGUAGGAGAACCUGCGGCUGGAUCACCUCCUUUCUAAGGA
rnacentral:rRNA from 1 species